GGAAUAAAAGUCGUAACAAGGUUUCCGUAGGUGAACCUGCGGAAGGAUCAUUAUUGGAUUUUGAAACUUCAGGCUGCUGCUGGCUCUCCUCGGAGGGCAUGUGCACGCUUGUUGUCCAUUAUUUCUCCCACUGUGCACAAAUUGUAGACCUUUCAGUAGGCCUAUGUUGUUUUUCACAAUCUCUGAAUGUAAUAGAAUGGUUUUGAAUCUUGGGAAAUACAAUACAACUUUCUGCAACGGAUCUCUUGGCUCUC
rnacentral:misc_RNA from 1 species